rnacentral:rRNA from 1 species
AGAGUUUGAUCCUGGCUCAGAUUGAACGCUGGCGGCAGGCCUAACACAUGCAAGUCGAGCGGUAACAUUUCUAGCUUGCUAGAAGAUGACGAGCGGCGGACGGGUGAGUAAUGCUUGGGAAUAUGCCUUUAGGUGGGGGACAACCAUUGGAAACGAUGGCUAAUACCGCAUAAUGUCUUUGGACCAAAGGGGGCUUCGGCUCUCGCCUUUAGAUUAGCCCAAGUGGGAUUAGGUAGUUGGUGAGGUAAUGGCUCACCAAGCCGACGAUCCCUAGCUGGUUUGAGAGGAUGAUCAGUCACACUGGAACUGAGACACGGUCCAGACUCCUACGGGAGGCAGCAGUGGGGAAUAUUGCACAAUGGGCGCAAGCCUGAUGCAGCCAUGCCGCGUGUGUGAAGAAGGCCUUCGGGUUGUAAAGCACUUUCAGUUGUGAGGAAAGGUUAGUAGUUAAUACCUGCUAGCUGUGACGUUAGCAACAGAAGAAGCACCGGCUAACUCCGUGCCAGCAGCCGCGGUAAUACGGAGGGUGCGAGCGUUAAUCGGAAUUACUGGGCGUAAAGCGUACGCAGGCGGUUUGUUAAGCGAGAUGUGAAAGCCCCGGGCUCAACCUGGGAACUGCAUUUCGAACUGGCAAGCUAGAGUGUGAUAGAGGGUGGUAGAAUUUCAGGUGUAGCGGUGAAAUGCGUAGAGAUCUGAAGGAAUACCGAUGGCGAAGGCAGCCACCUGGGUCAACACUGACGCUCAUGUACGAAAGCGUGGGGAGCAAACGGGAUUAGAUACCCCGGUAGUCCACGCCGUAAACGAUGUCUACUAAGGAGUUCGGGUUUUUCGGAACUGUCUUCCAAAGCUAACGCAUUAACUAGACCGCCUGGGGGAGUACGGCCGCAAGGUUGAAACUCAAAUGAAUUGACGGGGGCCCGCACAGGCGGUGGAGCAUGGUGGUUUAUUUCGAUGCAACGCGAAAAACCUUACCUACCCUUGGACUUCCAGAAGGACUUACUAAGAGAUUAGUUUGGGUGCUUUCGAGACUCUGGAAAACAGGGUGCCUGAAAGGGCUGACGUCAGCUCGGUGUUGUGGGAAAUGUUUGGCUAAGGUCCCGCAACUGAAGGCCAACCCUCUUCCCUUAGUGGCAACGCAAUUCCGUUCGAAAUCUAGGAAGCUGCCGUUAUAUCCGGAGAAAGUGGGGGACGCUACCCGAAGUC